AUUGAACGCUGGCGGCAGGCCUAACACAUGCAAGUCGAGCGGAGCGGCGGACGGGUGAGUAAUGUAUCGGUACGUGCCCAGUAGCGGGGGAUAACUACGCGAAAGCGUAGCUAAUACCGCAUACUAUUGGAGCGGCCGAUCUCGGAUUAGCUAGUUGGUGGGGGAACGGCUCACCAAGGCGACGAUCCGUAGCUGGGUUUAGAGGACGACCAGCCAAACUGGGACUGUGACACGGCCCAGACUCCUACGUGAGGCAGCAGUGGGGAAUUGUGGACAAUGGGGGAAACCCUGAUCCAGCCAUGCCGCGUGUGUGAAGAAGGUCUUCGGAUUGUAAAGCACGUUAAGUUGGGAGGCGUUACCAACAGAAUAAGCACCGGCUAACUCCGUGCCAGCAGCCGCGGUAAUAC
rnacentral:rRNA from 1 species